AAAAAUAUUGAUAGGUCAUGGACCUCCUUUUCCAGAAAUUUGAGAUUUAAAAUAUGGCGGGAAAAGGCUGACUCGGACUUUUACCUUAUAUUUGCAUUGGUAUUAUUUGGGUCUCAAAACAAAAGAAAGAAAAUCAAGAAUCUUCUAAAAUUUUGGUAAAUUACCUUUCAUGAGCUAUUAAGUCUUAUAUGAAAAAAUAAAUGGUUGUUAUGGGGCAAAAUAUUUUACAUUGUAUUGUAUGGAAAAACACCAAGGAGUCCGAACAUUUGACACAAAUUCCAAA
rnacentral:lncRNA from 1 species